rnacentral:rRNA from 1 species
UACGUAGAAGACUAGUGUUAUUCAUCUUUAAUAGGUUUAAAGGGUACCUAGACGGUAUAAUUAGUCUUUAACAGGAAACGGUUAUACUAGAGUUAUAUAUGAGGAGGUGAGUAUUUGUGGAGUAGAGUUGAAAUUCUUUGAUACCAUGAAGACUGGUGAAGGCGAAAGCAACCUUUUAUCUAAUAACUGACGUUGAGGGACGAAGGCUCGGGUCGCGAACAGG